AGCUCCUCUAUCAACAAGCACAGGUGCUCCGACAACAACCACUGCUAAGCUAACAACAACCACUGCUGCGCCAACAACAACCACAGCUCCUCCAUCAACAAGCACAGGUGCUCCGAGAACAACCACUGCUAAGCCAACAACAACCACUGCUGCACCAACAACAACCACAGCUGUGCCAACAACAACAACAACAACAGCUGCUGCUCCCAUACCAGUUGUUAUUCUUACCGCAGUUGUUGUCACACCCUAUCAACCUGCGCUUGCCGAUAAAAGCAGUCCACAAUUUAAGGCACUUGAGGCACAAGUGGUACAAGUGUAUGAUAUUAUUUAUAAAGCUCGAUAUGGCCGACUUUUCAUCCGUGUUAUUGUUAUAGCAUUUAGAUCUGCUGCGACGAGAACGCGUGAGUCUAACACUGAAGCAGAGGUACAGCUUGUGUUUAACGAAACUGCAACACCUGCAGAAAUCCCAAAGGCUGCAGAUGUAGCACAAACCUUAAAAGAAGCUGUGUCAAAUCCCAACAAUACUUUCAACUUAACUGUUGACGCUGCAUCUGUCCAAGUAUUCACAA